rfam:Desulfosporosinus sp. I2 contig00322, whole genome shotgun sequence.
UUGAGCACGCCCAAGCGAGUAGGAUGUAGGGUAGGCAAAUCCGCCCUGCGAGAAGUCUGAGACGUGACGGGGAGCGAAAAUUAGUAGCGAAGUAACCGACUCCAAGCUGUCAAGAAAAGCCUCUAGUGAGCGACUAGGUGCCCGUACCGUAAACCGACACAGGUAGAUGGGGUGAGAAUCCUAAGGCGCGCGAGAAAACCCUCGUUAAGGAACUCGGCAAAAUAGCCCCGUAACUUCGGGAGAAGGGGCGCUCUUGGCAACAAGAGCCGCAGAGAAAUGGUCCAGGCGACUGUUUAACAAAAACACAGGUCCCUGCUAAUCCGAAAGGAGAUGUAUAGGGGCUGACACCUGCCCGGUGCUGGAAGGUUAAGAGGAGAGGUUAGUCUCGAUGCUCGAGGCUCGAAGUUCGAGGUUCGAAAAGAACGGAACGAAGAAUCGGGUUUGGAACAUCGGGA